AGCCCCAUCUGAUCGUUCAUAUGA
rnacentral:sRNA from 1 species